ACCCCAAAACCCGAAUGUUUAUAUUUGUCGUAUGUCCAUAUAAGACACAUCAUGAAAUAAAUAACUAGGCUAAUUAACCUAGUUAAGUAUAUGGCAAAACUAUUAAAUGGAGAGAGUUGUGCCAAAUGUGUUCUAAGUGCCAACAUGAGGGACUAAUUGAAGUAAAAUGGAAGUUGAGUUAUUAAAAUGAAAAAUAAACACACACAAACACACAAUUCGUGUGUGUUCUCGAACGUACAGGGGCUUCAAGAAGCCAAGCCCUAGUUCUUCAAAAAGCUUCAAAUUAAGGGAUGAUUCAAGGCUCAAAUUCGUGAAUUCUCAUGGAUUAAUGAUCACCAUCACAAGGGGAUCAUAAGGAACGUGUCAAGGAGAGCUCAAGCAUAGGAGGAUAACGGGUCAAGAUAAGGCAAGGUCACAAAUACACUUAUUGGAGCACUCAAGGUACUACACGGAUUUCUUCUACCACUAUCGAAGAUAAGCGGGCAUAGAUCGAGUCGAAUAACAAGGAUUGUACGGAAAGAACGGUUACGUAGUCUUAAUUUUGUAACACAUUAAUUUGUAAAAAGGGAAGUGAAUUUUGUAAGCUUCUUGAAUGUGUGUAUUAUUUUAAGAUCGUAAAGGAAUUUUUAAAGCUAUU